rnacentral:sRNA from 1 species
UUUCUUUGCGGAAUCACUAUGGCGGCUGGGGUAAGUUUGCUGGCUCUGGUGGUUCGGGUCAUCCUAUCCACCGCCAUCCUUUGCCCGAGUGGGGCCAGUCGGCGCCAGAGGAGUUCUGAGGCUGAGUGGGGAACUGAUUCGGGGGUCUACAGACUGUACUGCUGGAGAGUAGGGUUCCUAGGGCCUGGAGGGGAACUGAGGCUGGGGCUCUCGGAGGCCAGAGGUGGAAGGGUCUGGGGAAGAGGAGAAAAGAGAUGCCGGGUCUGGGCCGUCCGAAGCCUGAGAAAGGGGUUCGGCUCUGUUGCCGCUUUGAGGCGUGGUAUCUGGGCAGGUUGACGAACUUCUGUGUCCGUUUUGUGGAGUAACACUGGGGACAGGUUGAAGAGGAGGGUCUUUGUAGGCAGGUCCGGCUGGCACGGUUAAAGGUCGUCUCUCAGGGAGGUUUGGGAGCGAGAGGAUUCUCCGGACAGUGAAGUCAGACCAAUUGGACUCCGCUGGCCGGCAUAAUAGAGAAGCCAACGCCGGGGAACUCGCUGCGGGACAGGACCGGAGGGAUGAUAUGCGCGACACGGAAAGAAAGGCUUUUGAGAGAGAGGAGUUGAUUUAAGAAGACGGCAUGCCAUCCCCUAUCUCUGGCUAGUCUGAGGGGAACUAGAAAUCUCUCGAUCGUCGUGCGUGCCUUAGAGACAGGACGAUGCUUUUGAAGCGGUGAGCAGCUGAGCAGUAGAGUAGGCAGGCGCUCGGAACCAUCAAUGAAUGAAACGAGGGCUCCGGGAAGGGAGGGGAGUAUGUUUGUAGGCAGAUGGAGUCUGAUGGAGCUAGAAGUUCUGGAUUUCUUGGAGAUAGAUUUGAGGGGAAGAGAAUACUUCUAGAGGUGUCCUUAGGGAAGGUCAAAUCUGUCAACAAGCUUUAUUUAGCAGUUGGUGUGUAGUUCUGUUCUUGGUAUUUCGGAGGAUUCUGAUUACAUAUGACAAGUACUAAAGGACUUGGUUCACCAGAGGAAGUAAAAGGGUGAGUUGAAUACACUGGGAUUAUUCAGGAAAGUCAUCCUGGAGAGUGGCAUUAAGGACUGGGACCUUUCUACUCAUUAAUUUUGUCCCUCUCUUUCUCCCAUAGACCCUGUACACGUAUCCUGAAAACUGGAGGGCCUUCAAGGCUCUCAUCGCUGCUCAGUACAGCGGGGCUCAGGUCCGCGUGCUCUCCGCACCACCCCACUUCCAUUUUGGCCAAACCAACCGCACCCCUGAAUUUCUCCGCAAAUUUCCUGCCGGCAAGGUCCCAGCAUUUGAGGGUGAUGAUGGAUUCUGUGUGUUUGAGAGCAACGCCAUUGCCUACUAUGUGAGCAAUGAGGAGCUGCGGGGAAGUACUCCAGAGGCAGCAGCCCAAGUGGUGCAGUGGGUGAGCUUUGCUGAUUCCGAUAUAGUGCCCCCAGCCAGUACCUGGGUGUUCCCCACCUUGGGCAUCAUGCACCACAACAAACAGGCCACUGAGAAUGCAAAGGAGGAAGUGAGGCGAAUUCUGGGGCUGCUGGAUGCUUACUUGAAGACGAGGACUUUUCUGGUGGGCGAACGAGUGACAUUGGCUGACAUCACAGUUGUCUGCACCCUGUUGUGGCUCUAUAAGCAGGUUCUGGAGCCUUCUUUCCGCCAGGCCUUUCCCAAUACCAACCGCUGGUUCCUCACCUGCAUUAACCAGCCCCAGUUCCGGGCUGUCUUGGGGGAAGUGAAACUGUGUGAGAAGAUGGCCCAGUUUGAUGCUAAAAAGUUUGCAGAGACCCAACCUAAAAAGGACACACCACGGAAAGAGAAGGGUUCACGGGAAGAGAAGCAGAAGCCCCAGGCUGAGCGGAAGGAGGAGAAAAAGGCGGCUGCCCCUGCUCCUGAGGAGGAGAUGGAUGAAUGUGAGCAGGCGCUGGCUGCUGAGCCCAAGGCCAAGGACCCCUUCGCUCACCUGCCCAAGAGUACCUUUGUGUUGGAUGAAUUUAAGCGCAAGUACUCCAAUGAGGACACACUCUCUGUGGCACUGCCAUAUUUCUGGGAGCACUUUGAUAAGGACGGCUGGUCCCUGUGGUACUCAGAGUAUCGCUUCCCUGAAGAACUCACUCAGACCUUCAUGAGCUGCAAUCUCAUCACUGGAAUGUUCCAGCGACUGGACAAGCUGAGGAAGAAUGCCUUCGCCAGUGUCAUCCUUUUUGGAACCAACAAUAGCAGCUCCAUUUCUGGAGUCUGGGUCUUCCGAGGCCAGGAGCUUGCCUUUCCGCUGAGUCCAGAUUGGCAGGUGGACUACGAGUCAUACACAUGGCGGAAACUGGAUCCUGGCAGCGAGGAGACCCAGACGCUGGUUCGAGAGUACUUUUCCUGGGAGGGGGCCUUCCAGCAUGUGGGCAAAGCCUUCAAUCAGGGCAAGAUCUUCAAGUGAACAUCUCUUGCCAUCACCUAGCUGCCUGCACCUGCCCUUCAGGGAGAUGGGGGGUCAUUAAAGGAAACUGAACAUUG